AAGAAACAUAGUGAACUUUAAGAUGACAAAUUUCAUCUCUCCACAGGUCACUUCAGAGCCCUGCGGCUCUCUCCUGCAGAAGAGUACAAUCCUGUUAAAGCGUCGAGCAGUCAGGCGUACUGGAAUGUGCCGUGACAAGAAGAGAUCAGGUGGUUGAGAAUGGAAGUCCUGACCGAGUUAGCAGACUGACCUUUGACCCUCCAAGGAAACUUAAAUUUAAGUCUGAGAACUUCCUGAGAAGAGGAAAACAUCCCGUCUGUGUGAUGAAUGUCCUUUUUACCUUUUGUGUCACAUAAUACUCUCUCCAGAUGCAGUGAAGUACAGAAACAAGCUCGUGAAAAAUCCACACGUCACCAUCUCGCUCAACUCAAAUUAAAAGUUCAACAUCCCCGAAAAAAGGUGCAACUGUCCCAGACACGUGAAUACUGCAUUCUGAUGAAAGACUUCAUUUAGGAGCCAAGACCUUUGCAGUUUCCUGUUGAUAGUGGAUCACAGCUGGAGGUCAAAGGUCAUCAGUAUGUGUGUGUAUCUGUGUCACCUAACACUCUGACAAAGUGUAUUUCAUUUUUCAUUCUGUCCAACAUCCCUGAUUAUACUAUAAACAGACCUUUUUGCAGGAGAGCUAAAGAGAGAAUUAUUUAGCCGAUCGUGAAACCAUUUUUAUUAACAAUAUUUUCAUAAUUUUGAUAAUUGAAUUGUGUUUUUUCUUGCAUCUUUGUGACAACUUAGAAGACAUUGUAUCACAGCAACAUAAAUAAAAAAAAAUAAGAAUGUACA
ensembl:lncRNA